AGCGAACGCUGGCGGCAGGCCUAACACAUGCAAGUCGAACGAAGUCUUCGGACUUAGUGGCGGACGGGUGAGUAACACGUGGGAACGUGCCUUUAGGUUCGGAAUAACUCAGGGAAACUUGUGCUAAUACCGAAUGUGCCCUUCGGGGGAAAGAUUUAUCGCCUUUAGAGCGGCCCGCGUCUGAUUAGCUAGUUGGUGAGGUAAAGGCUCACCAAGGCGACGAUCAGUAGCUGGUCUGAGAGGAUGAUCAGCGACAUUGGGACUGAGACACGGCCCAAACUCCGACGGGAGGCAGCAGUGAGGAAUCUUGCGCAAUGGGCGGAAGCCUGACGCAGCCAUGCCGCGUGAAUGAUGAAGGUCUUAGGAUUGUAAAAUUCUUUCACCGGGGACGAUAAUGACGGUACCCGGAGAAGAAGCCCCGGCUAACUUCGUGCCAGCCGCCGCGGUAAGAC
rnacentral:rRNA from 1 species